rnacentral:rRNA from 1 species
AGUGAACGCUGGCGGCAGGCCUAACACAUGCAAGUCGAACGGCAGCACGGCAGUAGCAAUACUGUGGGUGGCGAGUGGCGGACGGGUGAGGAAUACAUCGGGAUCUACCCUGUUGUGGGGGAUAACGUAGGGAAACUUACGCUAAUACCGCAUAAGAACUGAGGUUGAAAGCGGCGGACCGCAAGGCGUCGCGCGAUUGGAUGAAUCGAUGUCCGAUUAGCUAGUUGGCGGGGUAAAGGCCCACCAAGGCGACGAUCGGUAGCUGGUCUGAGAGGACGACCAGCCACACUGGAACUGAGACACGGUCCAGACUCCUACGGGAGGCAGCAGUGGGGAAUAUUGCACAAUGGGCGAAAGCCUGACGCAGCCACGCCGCGUGAGUGAUGAAGGCCUUCGGGUCGUAAAACUCUGUCGGGAGGGACGAAGGGGCAACCCUGACGGUACCUCGCAAGAAAGCAACCGGCUAACUCUGUGCCAGCAGCCGCGGUAAU